UAGGGAAUAUUGGGCAAUGGGUGAGAGCCUGAUCCAGCCAUGCCGCGUGCAGGAAGAAGGCGUUAUGCGUUGUAAACUGCUUUUGCCAGGGGAUAAAAAGACCGUGCGCGGUUAAUUGAAGGUACCUGGUGAAUAAGCCACGGCUAACUACGUGCCAGCAGCCGCGGUAAUACGUAGGUGGCAAGCGUUGUCCGGAUUUAUUGGGUUUAAAGGGUGCGUAGGUGGCCCUGUAAGUCAGUGGUGAAAUAUCUCAGCUUAACUGAGAGGGUGCCAUUGAUACUGCAGGGCUUGAGUACAGAUGAGGUAGGCGGAAUUGACGGUGUAGCGGUGAAAUGCGUAGAUAUCAAGAGGAACACCUGAGGCGAAGGCUGGUUGCUAGGCUGAUACUGACGCUGAGGCGCGAAAGCUAGGGUAGCAAACGGGAUUAGAUACCCCCGUAGUCCCUGAGCGGGCUGGCAAGGCGCAU
rnacentral:rRNA from 1 species